rnacentral:rRNA from 1 species
CUACGUGCCAGCAGCCGCGGUAAUACGUAGGGGGCAAGCGUUAUCCGGAUUUACUGGGUGUAAAGGGAGCGUAGACGGAGUGGCAAGUCUGAAGUGAAAACCCUGGGCUUAACCUGGGGACUGCUUUGGAAACUGUUAAUCUAGAGUGUUGGAGAGGUAAGUGGAAUUCCUGGUGUAGCGGUGAAAUGCGUAGAUAUCAGGAAGAACACCGGAGGCGAAGGCGGCUUACUGGACAAUAACUGACGUUGAGGCUCGAAAGCGUGGGGAUCAAACAGGAUUAGAUACCCUGGUAGUCCACGCUGUAAACGAUGAAUACUAGGUGUCGGGGAGCAAAGCUUCUCGGUGCCGUCGCAAACGCAAUAAGUAUUCCACCUGGGGAGUACGUUCGCAAGAAUGAAACUCAAAGGAAUUGACGGGGACCCGCACAAGCGGUGGAGCAUGUGGUUUAAUUCGACGCAACGCGAGGAACCUUACCAGCGUUUGACAUC